rnacentral:siRNA from 1 species
CUUAACCACGUAUCAUUUAAUAAC